rnacentral:rRNA from 1 species
CCUACGGGUGGCAGCAGUGAGGAAUAUUGGUCAAUGGGCGGAAGCCUGAACCAGCCAAGUAGCGUGCAGGAUGACGGCCCUACGGGUUGUAAACUGCUUUUAUACGGGAAUAACGCGCCUUACGUGUAGGGCUUUGCAUGUACCGUAUGAAUAAGGACCGGCUAAUUCCGUGCCAGCAGCCGCGGUAAUACGGAGGGUCCGGGCGUUAUCCGGAUUUAUUGGGUUUAAAGGGAGCGUAGGCCGCAAGUCAAGCGUGCUGUGAAAUGUCCGGGCUCAACCCGGGCCUUGCAGCGCGAACUGGCGGGCUUGAGGCGGCGAGAAGCAGGCGGAAUGCGUGGUGUAGCGGUGAAAUGCUUAGAUAUGGCGAAGAACCCCGAUUGCGAAGGCAGCUUGCUGCAGCGGAACUGACGCUGAGGCUCGAAAGCGCGGGUAUCGAACAGGAUUAGAUACCCUUGUAGUC